rnacentral:rRNA from 1 species
GACGAACGCUGGCGGCGUGCUUAACACAUGCAAGUCGAACGGAAAGGCCCUGCUUGCAGGGUACUCGCGUGGCGAACGGGUGAGUAACACGUGGGUGUUCUCCCCUGCACUUCGGGAUAAGCCUGGGAAACAGGGUCUAAUACAGGGUAUGAGACAUCUUUAGGGUGAGGGUUGGAAGGUUUUUUUGGUGUGGGAGGAGCUCGCGGGCUGUCAGCUUGCUGGUGGGGUAAUGGCCUACCAAGGCGGCGGCGGGUAGCCGGCCUGGGGGGGUGGACGGCCACAUUGGGGCUGGGAUACGGGCCAGACUCCUACGGGGGGCAGCAGUGGGGAAUAUUGCACAAUGGGCGCGAGCCUGAUGCAGCGACGCCGCGUGGGGGAUGACGGCCUUCGGGUUGUAAACUCCUUUCGCUAGGGACGAAGCUUUUUGUGACGGUACCUAGUUAAGAAGCACCGGCUAACUACGUG